UUAAGCGACUAAGCGUACACGGUGGAUGCCCUGGCAGUCAGAGGCGAUGAAGGACGUGCUAAUCUGCGAUAAGCGUCGGUAAGGUGAUAUGAACCGUUAUAACCGGCGAUUUCCGAAUGGGGAAACCCAGUGUGUUUCGACACACUAUCAUUAACUGAAUCCAUAGGUUAAUGAGGCGAACCGGGGGAACUGAAACAUCUAAGUACCCCGAGGAAAAGAAAUCAACCGAGAUUCCCCCAGUAGCGGCGAGCGAACGGGGAGCAGCCCAGAGCCUGAAUCAGUAUGUGUGUUAGUGGAAGCGUCUGGAAAGGCGCGCGAUACAGGGUGACAGCCCCGUACACAAAAAUGCACAUGCUGUGAGCUCGAUGAGUAGGGCGGGACACGUGGUAUCCUGUCUGAAUAUGGGGGGACCAUCCUCCAAGGCUAAAUACUCCUGACUGACCGAUAGUGAACCAGUACCGUGAGGGAAAGGCGAAAAGAACCCCGGCGAGGGGAGUGAAAAAGAACCUGAAACCGUGUACGUACAAGCAGUGGGAGCCUCUUUUAUGGGGUGACUGCGUACCUUUUGUAUAAUGGGUCAGCGACUUAUAUUCUGUAGCAAGGUUAACCGAAUAGGGGAGCCGAAGGGAAACCGAGUCUUAACUGGGCGUUAAGUUGCAGGGUAUAGACCCGAAACCCGGUGAUCUAGCCAUGGGCAGGUUGAAGGUUGGGUAACACUAACUGGAGGACCGAACCGACUAAUGUUGAAAAAUUAGCGGAUGACUUGUGGCUGGGGGUGAAAGGCCAAUCAAACCGGGAGAUAGCUGGUUCUCCCCGAAAGCUAUUUAGGUAGCGCCUCGUGAAUUCAUCUCCGGGGGUAGAGCACUGUUUCGGCAAGGGGGUCAUCCCGACUUACCAACCCGAUGCAAACUGCGAAUACCGGAGAAUGUUAUCACGGGAGACACACGGCGGGUGCUAACGUCCGUCGUGAAGAGGGAAACAACCCAGACCGCCAGCUAAGGUCCCAAAGUCAUGGUUAAGUGGGAAACGAUGUGGGAAGGCCCAGACAGCCAGGAUGUUGGCUUAGAAGCAGCCAUCAUUUAAAGAAAGCGUAAUAGCUCACUGGUCGAGUCGGCCUGCGCGGAAGAUGUAACGGGGCUAAACCAUGCACCGAAGCUGCGGCAGCGACGCUGAUGCGUUGUUGGGUAGGGGAGCGUUCUGUAAGCCUGCGAAGGUGUGCUGUGAGGCAUGCUGGAGGUAUCAGAAGUGCGAAUGCUGACAUAAGUAACGAUAAAGCGGGUGAAAAGCCCGCUCGCCGGAAGACCAAGGGUUCCUGUCCAACGUUAAUCGGGGCAGGGUGAGUCGACCCCUAAGGCGAGGCCGAAAGGCGUAGUCGAUGGGAAACAGGUUAAUAUUCCUGUACUUGGUGUUACUGCGAAGGGGGGACGGAGAAGGCUAUGUUGGCCGGGCGACGGUUGUCCCGGUUUAAGCGUGUAGGCUGGUUUUCCAGGCAAAUCCGGAAAAUCAAGGCUGAGGCGUGAUGACGAGGCACUACGGUGCUGAAGCAACAAAUGCCCUGCUUCCAGGAAAAGCCUCUAAGCAUCAGGUAACAUCAAAUCGUACCCCAAACCGACACAGGUGGUCAGGUAGAGAAUACCAAGGCGCUUGAGAGAACUCGGGUGAAGGAACUAGGCAAAAUGGUGCCGUAACUUCGGGAGAAGGCACGCUGAUAUGUAGGUGAAGCGACUUGCUCGUGGAGCUGAAAUCAGUCGAAGAUACCAGCUGGCUGCAACUGUUUAUUAAAAACACAGCACUGUGCAAACACGAAAGUGGACGUAUACGGUGUGACGCCUGCCCGGUGCCGGAAGGUUAAUUGAUGGGGUUAGCGCAAGCGAAGCUCUUGAUCGAAGCCCCGGUAAACGGCGGCCGUAACUAUAACGGUCCUAAGGUAGCGAAAUUCCUUGUCGGGUAAGUUCCGACCUGCACGAAUGGCGUAAUGAUGGCCAGGCUGUCUCCACCCGAGACUCAGUGAAAUUGAACUCGCUGUGAAGAUGCAGUGUACCCGCGGCAAGACGGAAAGACCCCGUGAACCUUUACUAUAGCUUGACACUGAACAUUGAGCCUUGAUGUGUAGGAUAGGUGGGAGGCUUUGAAGUGUGGACGCCAGUCUGCAUGGAGCCGACCUUGAAAUACCACCCUUUAAUGUUUGAUGUUCUAACGUGGACCCGUGAUCCGGGUUGCGGACAGUGUCUGGUGGGUAGUUUGACUGGGGCGGUCUCCUCCUAAAGAGUAACGGAGGAGCACGAAGGUUGGCUAAUCCUGGUCGGACAUCAGGAGGUUAGUGCAAUGGCAUAAGCCAGCUUGACUGCGAGCGUGACGGCGCGAGCAGGUGCGAAAGCAGGUCAUAGUGAUCCGGUGGUUCUGAAUGGAAGGGCCAUCGCUCAACGGAUAAAAGGUACUCCGGGGAUAACAGGCUGAUACCGCCCAAGAGUUCAUAUCGACGGCGGUGUUUGGCACCUCGAUGUCGGCUCAUCACAUCCUGGGGCUGAAGUAGGUCCCAAGGGUAUGGCUGUUCGCCAUUUAAAGUGGUACGCGAGCUGGGUUUAGAACGUCGUGAGACAGUUCGGUCCCUAUCUGCCGUGGGCGCUGGAGAACUGAGGGGGGCUGCUCCUAGUACGAGAGGACCGGAGUGGACGCAUCACUGGUGUUCGGGUUGUCAUGCCAAUGGCACUGCCCGGUAGCUAAAUGCGGAAGAGAUAAGUGCUGAAAGCAUCUAAGCACGAAACUUGCCCCGAGAUGAGUUCUCCCUGACCCUUUAAGGGUCCUGAAGGAACGUUGAAGACGACGACGUUGAUAGGCCGGGUGUGUAAGCGCAGCGAUGCGUUGAGCUAACCGGUACUAAUGAACCGUGAGGCUUAACCUU
rnacentral:rRNA from 1 species